ACUAUGUAUUCUGGAACUAAACUGAUCAAACGAACACUCGGAGCGUGCAAAAUCGAGAAGAAAGGAGAACUAGAGCGAGAUGAAGACUUUGAAUGACCGAAGCAAGGCGUUCACAUGGCUUAUUGGGAGGAUUCCACGUGACUGAUAAUGAGGAUGAAUUUUUUGUGGUGACUGUGACGUUCAGUGGAGGACCUUCUGGAGCUAAAUAUAUCAAAAUGGCAACCGAGGAUCCCAAAUGAAAGACAGAGAUGAUGUACUUCUUGAUGUGGUUUUGAUGUUUAAUGGAGGACCACUUGGUGCUAAAAAUCAAAAUGGAGCAAGACAUCCUUGUCUUUUCAAAUUCAACAUGGCGCCAUUAUCACGAAACCGAAACUGAGCAGCUGGAUCCAGACAGUUGUUGGAG